rnacentral:rRNA from 1 species
UACAGAGGGUGCAAGCGUUGCUCGGAUUUACUGGGCGUAAAGCGUACGCAGACGGUCACGCAGGUCGGAUGUGAAAGCCCCGGGCUCAACCCGGGAACUGCAUUCGAAACCAUGUGACUCGAGGAUGGUAGAGGAGAGCGGAAUUCCCGGUGUAGAGGUGAAAUUCGUAGAUAUCGGGAGGAACACCAGUGGCGAAAGCGGCUCUCUGGCCCAUUUCUGACGUUCAGGUACGAAAGCGUGGGGAGCAAACAGG